GUUCGAGCGUCAUUUCAACCCUCAAGCACUGCUUGGUAAUGGGGCACUGCGAAGCGCAGGCUCUUAAAUAUAGUGGCGGGCCCUCUAUGGUCUUGAGCGUAGUAAUCUAUUUCGCUUAUGGUAUCAUAGAGAACCUCUGCCGUUAAACUCCCUAUUUACUGGUUGACCUCGGAUCAGGUAGGAAUACCCGCUGAACUUAA
rnacentral:misc_RNA from 1 species